GUGUUAGUUGCAACAAAGGCCCAAAACAAAUGGCCCAAAUGUCCUCCAGGAUGGGCCCUCUGAAUGUGCGAGCUCUUGGUAGCAACAUGCCUGACUUGAGGUUAUACCAAGAAGAAAUCAUCAUUCCCACUGAGGGUCUCCCAGCUGCAUGGAAAUGGGACAACAUUGGUAACAGGUGCCAACCUGUGAGAUUUUGGAGCUGUCAUUGCUCCCCAUGGGCACAUGGGUGCACCAGUCAUAGAGUACCAUAAAGUAGCCAGCACUCCCGCACUUGUCCUUCAAAGCCUGACCCUUCCAGUAGCAGCAAUCAGCUUCCUCUAGACCUAGAAUCAUGCGACAGUCCAUUUGCAAAGAGCAGGAUAAAGAACUUGAGCCAUCUAGUGGGCUCUUGGGCAUAGUUGGGAAGACGCAAGGCAAAUUCCCUCUUCCAAAAUAUCCACCUUCCCAUUCCACCACACUUAACACUUGGCUAUUAAAAACCUUAUUCUUGAGGUCAGAAAGACUUGCGGGGCGCUGGAGUUCCCCAGUGAAAAUGCCAAUAGCACUGGGUAAUAAACACGUAAGUUAUUGUCAUGGGUGAUUUGCAAACCUGCCAGCAAGGCAGUGAGCAGUUCCCUGGGUGGGGUCCAGGACGCAAAAGGAGAGAGUUCACGAAAGUCAAGAUGAGAGGACGGCAAACGGAGAGCUGCCCAGUGCACAGAUCUGCCUGAAGGAACACUGCUUCCCAAGGAAACACAUCUGUUUGUUGUGAAGCUCUCACUAUGAAAAACAGAAUCUGACCGGGCGCGGUGGCUCACGCCUGUAAUCCCAACACUCUGGGAGGCUGAGAUGGGCAGAUUGCUUUAGCUCAGGAGUUUGAGACCAGCCUGGCCAACAUGGUGAAACCCUGUCUCUACCAAAAAUACAAAAAAUUAGCAGGGUGUGGUGGCGUGCACCUGUGGACCCAGCUAUCUGGGAGGCUGAGGUUGGAAGAUCACUUGUGGGAGGCAGAGAUUGCAGUGAGCUAAGAUUGUGCCACUGCACUCCAGCCUAGACAACAGAGUGAGACCCCAUGUCAGAAGGAAAGAAAGAAAGAAAGAGAGAGAGAGAGAAGGAAGGAAGGAUAGAAGGAA
rnacentral:lncRNA from 1 species